rnacentral:rRNA from 1 species
CACGUAUUUAGCCGGAGCUUCUUAGUCAGGUACCGUCAUUUUCUUCCCUGCUGAUAGAAGUUUACAUACCGAGAUACUUCUUCCUUCACGCGGCGUCGCUGCAUCAGGGUUUCCCCCAUUGUGCAAUAUUCCCCACUGCUGCCUCCCGUAGGAGUUUGGGCCGUGUCUCAGUCCCAAUGUGGCCGCCCACCCUCUCAGGCCGGCUACUGAUCGUCGCCUUGGUGGGCUUUUACCCCUCCAACUAGCUAAUCAGACGCGGGUCCAUCGUAUACCACCGGAGUUUUUCACACUGCACCAUGCGGUGCUGUGCGCUUAUGCGGUAUUAGCAGCCAUUUCUGGCUGUUAUCCCCCUGUAUACGGCAGGUUACCCACGCGUUACUCACCCGUCCGCCACUCAGUCAUGUAUUUCCCUCUCGAAGUAGUUCCAUACAUGCUUCGUCGACUUGCAUGUGUUAGGCACGCCGCCAGCGUUCAUCCUGACGCCAGGAUCAAACU